UCUCAAAGAUUAAGCCAUGCAUGUCUAAGUACAUACCAUUUUAAGGUGAAACCGCGAAUAGCUCAUUAAAUCAGUUACGGUUCAUUGGAUAUUAAACUUUACAUGGAUAACUGUGGUAAUUCUAGAGCUAAUACAUGCAUGAAAGCUUUUUUUUUUUCUUUUUUAGUUGAUAGAGAAAAAUUAAGUUUUUUUUCUAUUUUUACUAAUUUAAGAAAAAAGAAAAGUGCAUUUAUUAGACCAAGACCAAUGAUUAUAUAUAUCUAAUAAAUAUAUAUAAUGUUAAAUAUAUGGUGACUCUGAAUAACUGAGCUAAUCGCAUGGCCUAUGCGCCGGCGAUGUAUCCUUCAAGCGUCUGCCUUAUCAACUUUCGAUGGUAGGUUAUGCGCCUACCAUGGUUGUAACGGGUGACGGGGAAUCAGGGUUCGAUUCCGGAGAGGGAGCCUGAGAAACGGCUACCACAUCCAAGGAAGGCAGCAGGCACGCAAAUUACCCACUCCCAGCACGGGGAGGUAGUGACGAAAAAUAACAAUACGGGACUCAUUGAGUCUCCGUAAUUGGAAUGAGUACAAUAUAAAUCCUUUAACGAGUAUCUAUUGGAGGGCAAGUCUGGUGCCAGCAGCCGCGGUAAUUCCAGCUCCAAUAGCGUAUAUUAAAGUUGUUGCGGUUAAAAAGCUCGUAGUUGUAUCUCAGCUUAUGUUAAACAGUCCUACACAUUUAUAAUCUUAGCCUCAUAUCUAUCCUAUUAUUUAUUUAUCUUCAUAAUUCUCUCUCGGUUGUUUUUGUUGUUUUAUGCUAUAUCAUAUAUAUAUUUUAUGAUGAUAUAUAUGUUUGUACUUUGCUGUAAAUCUAUAUUUCAUUUAUAAGCUGUUUUAUACACUUGUAAGUGUUUAAAAAAUAUAGCUUUCACAAAUACACAUAUUUUCUCAUAUAUAUAUAUAUAUAUACAUAAACAUACUUACACUGUAGUAGUAGAAUAUUAAUGUUGGUAAAGGUAAUAUGGUUAUAGUAUGAGGAAUUUAAGAUUAUCAUAAUUGUGAGGAAUAAACCUGUUUGACUGAGCAUAACUGAUUUGUUUAUUGAUGCUCUUCACCGAGUGUCAUUAACGAUCAGUAUCUUUACUUUGAAAAAAUUAGAGUGCUCAAAGCAGGCAUUAAAAGCCUGAAUAUUAUUGCAUGGAAUAAUGGAAUAGGACCUAGGUUCUAUUCUGUUGGUCUUUUUUGAACCUAAGGUAAUGAUUAAGAGGGACAGACGGGGGCAUUCGUAUUGCGACGCUAGAGGUGAAAUUCUUGGACCGUCGUAAGACGAACUACAGCGAAAGCAUUUGCCAAGAAUGUUUUCAUUAAUCAAGAACGAAAGUUAGAGGUUCGAAGGCGAUCAGAUACCGCCCUAGUUCUAACCAUAAACGAUGCCAACCAGCGAUCAGCCUGAGUCUACUUUUUAUGACUCGGCUGGAAGCUUCCGGGAAACCAAAGUUUUUGGGUUCCGGGGGAAGUAUGGUUGCAAAGCUGAAACUUAAAGGAAUUGACGGAAGGGCACCACCAGGAGUGGAGCCUGCGGCUUAAUUUGACUCAACACGGGAAAACUCACCCGGCCCGGACACUGAGAGGAUUGACAGAUUGAGAGCUCUUUCUUGAUUCAGUGGGUGGUGGUGCAUGGCCGUUCUUAGUUGGUGGAGUGAUUUGUCAGGUUAAUUCCGAUAACGAACGAGACUCUAGCCUACUAAAUAGACUUACCAUCUCAUUAUCUUUCAUUAUCUACAAUUAUUAUAUAUGUAUAUAUAUAUAAUUAUACAUAUAUAUAUCUAUAUGUGUAUAUAUUUAUAUAUAUGAGUUUUAUAUAUGAGUAUGUAUAUGUGUAUGAUAUAUAUGUAUGCAAAUAUGUAUAUGUUGUAUGUGUAUAUAUAUUUAUAUAUGAAUUCUUUAUAUAUAUAAGUGUAUGUGUGUAUAAGUAUAUAUAUAUGUAGAUUAUAUAUGUUGCAUAUAUGAUUGUAUGAUAUGAUUGAGCGCGAUGGAAGAACUUCUUAGAGGGACAGGUGGCGUUUAUGCAGCCACACGAGACAGAGCAAUAACAGGUCUGUGAUGCCCUUAGAUGUCCGGGGCCGCACGCGCGCUACAAUGAAGGCGACAACAUGCAUAAUUUUCCCUCUCUGAGAAGAGUGGGUAACCAUAUGAAAAUCCUUCGUAAUAGGGACUGGGCAUUGUAAUUAUUGCCCACGAACGAGGAAUUCCCAGUAAGCGUGAGUCAUAAGCUUGCGUUGAUUACGUCCCUGCCCUUUGUACACACCGCCCGUCGCUACUACCGAUUGAAUGAUUUAGUGAAGUCCUCGGACUGGCUUGUUCGUAUAUUGUAUUGUAUACGGGCUAUGCUGGAAAGAUGCCCAAACUUGAUCAUUUAGAGGAAGUAAAAGUCGUAA
rnacentral:rRNA from 1 species